UACAGAGGGUGCGAGCGUUGUCCGGAAUCACUGGGCGUAAAGGGCGCGUAGGCGGCUCGGUCAGCGUGCGGUGAAAGCCCGGGGCUCAACCCCGGGUCGGCCGUGCGAACUGCUGGGCUGGAGCACUGUAGAGGCAGGUGGAAUUCCGGGUGUAGCGGUGGAAUGCGUAGAGAUCCGGAAGAACACCGGUGGCGAAGGCGGCCUGCUGGGCAGUAGCCUGACGCUGAUGCGCGACAGCGUGGGGAGCAAACAGG
rnacentral:rRNA from 1 species